UAGAGUUUGAUCAUGGCUCAGAUUGAACGCUGGCGGCAGGCUUAACACAUGCAAGUCGAGCGGUAGCACAAGGGAGCUUGCUCCCUGGGUGACGAGCGGCGGACGGGUGAGUAAUGUCUGGGAAACUGCCUGAUGGAGGGGGAUAACUACUGGAAACGGUAGCUAAUACCGCAUAACGUCGCAAGACCAAAGAGGGGGACCUUCGGGCCUCUUGCCAUCAGAUGUGCCCAGAUGGGAUUAGCUAGUAGGUAGGGUAAUGGCUCACCUAGGCGACGAUCCCUAGCUGGUCUGAGAGGAUGACCAGCCACACUGGAACUGAGACACGGUCCAGACUCCUACGGGAGGCAGCAGUGGGGAAUAUUGCACAAUGGGCUCAAGCCUGAUGCAGCCAUGCCGCGUGUGUGAAGAAGGCCUUCGGGUUGUAAAGCACUUUCAGCGAGGAGGAAGGUGGUGAACUUAAUACGUUCAUCAAUUGACGUUACUCGCAGAAGAAGCACCGGCUAACUCCGUGCCAGCAGCCGCGGUAAUACGGAGGGUGCAAGCGUUAAUCGGAAUUACUGGGCGUAAAGCGCACGCAGGCGGUUUGUUAAGUCAGAUGUGAAAUCCCCGGGCUCAACCUGGGAACUGCAUUUGAAACUGGCAAGCUAGAGUCUCGUAGAGGGGGGUAGAAUUCCAGGUGUAGCGGUGAAAUGCRUAGAGAUCUGGAGGAAUACCGGUGGCGAAGGCGGCCCCCUGGACGAAGACUGACGCUCAGUCGAGAG
rnacentral:rRNA from 1 species